GGGCGCCCCUCCCCCAGCCUCGCUGCCGCCUUGCAGUUUGAUCUUAGACUGCUGUGCUAGCAAUCAGCGAGACUCCGUGGGCGGGCGUAGGACCCUCCGAGCCAGGUGCGGGUUAUAAUCUCGUGGUGCGCCGUGUUUUAAGCCUGUCGGAAAAGCGCAGUAUUCGGGUGGGAGUGACCCAAUUUUCCAGGUGCGUCCGUCACCCCUUUCUUUGACUAGGAAAGGGAACUCCCUGACCCCUUGCGCUUCCCGAGUGAGGCCCUCGCCCUGCUUCGGUUCGCGCACGGUGCGCGCACCCACUGGCCUGCGCCCACUGUCUGGCACUCCCUAGGAGAUGAACCCGGUACCUCAGAUGGAAAUGCAGAAAUCACCCGUAUUCUGCGUCGCUCACGCUGGGAGCUGUAGACGGGAGCUGUUCCUAUUCGGCCAUCUUGGCUCCUCCCCCUGAAAAUCAUUUUCUACCAAAACUUUGAAGGCGGUAUUCUGCUGUCUUCCAGCAUACAGGAUUGCUGAUGAGAAGUCUAUCAGUCUGAUUCUCAUUCCAAUAUGGAGUCUCGCUCUGUCAUGCUGGAGUGUGGUGGCGCAAUCUCGGUUCACUGCAAGCUCCGCCUCCUGGGUUCACGCCAUUCUCCUGCCUCAGCCUCCCAAGUAGCUGGAACUACAGGCACCCGCCACCACGCCCAGCUAAUUUUUUGUAUUUUUAGUAGAGACGGGGUUUCACCAUGUUAGCCAGGAUGGUCUCAAUCUCCUGACCUCGUGAUCCACCCGCCUUGGCCUCCCAAAGUGCUGGGAGUACAGGCAUGAGCCACCGCACCUGGCCAAAUUAUUGAUAUUUUUUAAGAAAAGUAACAGAAUAGAUUUGAUAGAGAUACUGUUUCUCUUAAUACCAAAGGAAAACUAAAAUAAUAAUCCCAGUGUACUUUUCUUUGUUCCCUCAUGUUUUUUUCAAUCUAUACACUAACAUACCUAGCAGCAAAUUAAAGUUUUACUUCAACUCGAAAUAUUUAAGAGGCAUUAAACAAGGCAUUUCUUUGUCUUUGGUUGAAUUCUUUUGGAUUACCAAUAGUAAUUGAAGGAUCAAUUAUCAAAGAGUUUGAAUAGCUAAUGUAAACCGCAAACUCACCAUACAGUUUUUAUUCCAAAUGUGUUGAUAAAAAGAUACUUUGUUUCUUUAUCCACUUUGUUUUUAUAACACUUAAAAACCAAUACAAAUCAAAAAACCUAGUUAAAGCUAUUUUCUGGUUUGUAGUUUUAAUUAAUUUCCCCUAGGGUAGAAAUUAAAGCUGAUAAGUCACACACACACACUUUGUUGGGGUGGGGGUGGCAGGUGGAGAGCACUGUACUUGGGUUAGCUACAAUUAAAAACAGUAUUUCAAUUCCUCAUUUUACUUAUUUUAUAUGUAGACAGGGCCUUAGUGAUAAGAUGGUAUAAAUAAUUUAGGAUAUUCGUGUUUUAAAGUGAAGCAUAAAUAUUUUGCAAAAUGUUUUCUAGUUUGAAGGAUGUUCCAUUAUUAGGAUUUUCAGAUUAAUCUGUAUGGUCAAGGAAUACCAGUGAAACCUGUAGGUUAUUUAUUUUCUGUAGUGUCAUUUUGUCAAUGGUUGGUAUUAUAAUUGUUCUUUUCUUUCUUUUUUUUCUUUUUCUUUUUAUUUUGAGAUGGAGCGUCGCUGUGUUGCCAGACUGGAGUGCAGUGGCAUGACCUUGGCUCACUGCAACCUCCACCUCCUGGGUUCAAGUGAUUCUCCUGCCUCAGCCUCCCGAGUAGCUGGGACUACAGGUGUGCACCACCACAUCCAGCUGAUUUUUGUAUUUUUUUUUUAGUAGAGACGGGGUUUCACCAUGUUGGUCAGGAUGGUCUCAAUCUCUUGACCUUGUGAUCUGCCUACCUCAGCCUCCCAAAGUGCUGGGAUUACAGGCGUGAGCCACCAUGCCUGGCCCCCUCUUUUCUUAUUCAUUUUAUCACCAGUGCAUAAUUCUUACUGACAUUAGAUUUUAAAAAAGAAUUAUGCUGUAAAUCUUUAUAAAUUGUAUAUAUAUUUCUUAAAUAUUGCAAUUGUCUAAACGUUGUAUAUUUUAAGGCUGUUUUCUCUUGCUCUCAAUGUUGAGGAAAACUAUAAAUUGACCUAUAAUGCAUCUACUGCUAAUGGUUUUGGUUAGUUUGAUAUUCAUUGUUUUUAAACAGUUUCCAAUAUGGAAAUUUUAACACCUUUUAUACAGUUCUCUACUAUUCAAGAUAAAGAUUCUUUAAAAUAUCUCACCAGAAACUUAUAAUUUUAUACUUUGUAAUAUUUAGUUUCUAUAAUUUGAGGAAGGGACUUUUUCAUUUGGAUUAAGUAAAAAGCCUUUAUUUGAUUGCCAGCAUGAGAAUUCACCUUGGUUUCUAUUUUAUGCAUUUGUAAAUUUUUUCCCUAAUUACAUGGAAGCUAUUGGAACUUUUGUAUUCAAUGCUAAAUACUAAGUCAAAGGGAGUAUAAUAGGUAAGUUUUUUCAGUUACUGUGUCUUUAGCAUUCAGUCAUUAUAAGAAAAUGAUCAUAAGAAAAUCAUUAUAUUAUAAACAUGUAAUUAUUUCAUAUAAUGAUUAUCAUGUACUGCAAUGUUACUUUUAAAAUAAGCUAUUAAACUAGUUUUUAUGUUUCAACUAAUGCAAAAAAAAAUAAAGAAAUAUCUGAGACUGGCUAAUUU
rnacentral:lncRNA from 1 species